rnacentral:rRNA from 1 species
GACGAACGCUGGCGGCGUGCUUAACACAUGCAAGUCGAACGGAAAGGCCCUGCUUUUGUGGGGUGCUCGAGUGGCGAACGGGUGAGUAACACGUGAGUAACCUGCCCUUGACUUUGGGAUAACUUCAGGAAACUGGGGCUAAUACCGGAUAGGAGCUCCUGCUGCAUGGUGGUGGUUGGAAAGUUUCGGCGGUUGGGGAUGGACUCGCGGCUUAUCAGCUUGUUGGUGGGGUAGUGGCUUACCAAGGCUUUGACGGGUAGCCGGCCUGAGAGGGUGACCGGCCACAUUGGGACUGAGAUACGGCCCAGACUCCUACGGGAGGCAGUAGUGGGGAAUAUUGCACAAUGGGCGGAAGCCUGAUGCAGCAACGCCGCGUGCGGGAUGACGGCCUUCGGGUUGUAAACCGCUUUCGCCUGUGACGAAGCGUGAGUGACGGUAAUGGGUAAAGAAGCACCGGCUAACUACGUG